rnacentral:rRNA from 1 species
GUCUGUAUGAAGUUAUAUAGAGUCUAACCUGCCCAUUGAAUAAUUUAAAAGGCCGCAGUAUAUUAACUGUGCAAAGGUAGCAUAAUCAUUAGUUUUUUAAUUGAAGGCUUGUAUGAAGGGUUGGACAAAGAAUAAUCUGUUUCUAUUUUUAUUUUUGAAUUUAACUUUUAAGUGAAAAGGCUUAAAUGAGUUUAAGGGACGAUAAGACCCUAUAAAUCUUAAUAUUAAAUUAUUUUUAGUUAAUUAAUAAUUGUAAAUAUAAUAAUAAAAUAAUAAAUAUUAUGUUGGGGCGACAAGAAUAUAAUAAAUAACUGUUCUAAAAUUAAAACAAAAUUAUUUGAAAAAAAAGAUCCUUUAUAAAGAUUAAAAGUUCAAGUUACUUUAGGGAUAACAGCGUUAUUUUUUUUGAGAGUUCUUAUCGAAAAAAAAGUUUGCGACCUCGAUGUUGAAUUAAAAUUUCUUUGUGGUGUAGUUGUUACAAAAGAGAGUCUGUUCGACUUUU